rnacentral:rRNA from 1 species
GAUGAACGCUGGCGGCGUGCUUAACACAUGCAAGUCGAACGGAAAGGCCCUGCUUUUGUGGGGUGCUCGAGUGGCGAACGCGUGAGUAACACGUGUGUAUCCUGCCCUUGACUUUGGGAUAACUUCACGAAACUGGGGCUAAUACCGGAUAGGAGCUCCUGCUCCGUGGUGGGCGUUGGAAAGUUUCGGCUUUGGGGGAUGGACUCGCGGCGUACCAGCUUGUUGGUGGGGUAGUUGCUUACCAAGGCUUUGACGGGUAGCCGGCCUGAGAGAGUGAUAGGCGGCACGAGAGCGGGAACGCGGACAAGGGGACUACGAGACGGAGCAGACUGGUAUGGGAGGCAGUAGUCGGGAGUAUGACACAAUGGGCGGAAGUGUGAGGCGGAGACGUUGGGUGCGUGAUGACGGCUUUCGGGGUAAAAACAGCUGUCGCAUGUGACGAAGCGGGAGUGACGGUAAUGGGUAAAGAAGCACCGGCUAACUACGUG